ACUAUCGGUUUCAAGAGUAUAGCGUGCUGACAUACGAUGUCUGGUCACAGAACCAGACCAUAGUUAAGUUUACUCGAACUGAGCAGUUCAUGUUGACGUACCACAUUACAUAACGUACGCAUCAUGAGGCUCUAAUACGUCAAGUCAUCGACUAUGAAAUAAACGUCAUGCUCUUGCCAGACAGCUCGGUCAGUGUGACGUAUCAGUAAUUUUUAAAAUUUGCUACUUCUGCAUUCAUCAAAAAAAGUACUUUUCUGAAAUUAUUAAUCGAUUAUGAAUUUUGUGAUUUAAUUCGGCUAAGAACGACCUCCAGAGAAGCUAAUGACGAACGAGGAUACGGUGAGGUGCAGUGGUCGUAGUAUUAGUAAUUUUUUAAAAAUUCUUUACUUAAACAUUUAUCAACUAAAGUAUUUUGGAAAAUUGAUUAUAGAAUAAUAUGGAGUUCUGUCAUUCAAUUCGGUUAAGAACGACCUCCGGAGCAGCUGAUGACGAUUGACGAUAAGUUUAGUAGUCGUAGUGAACGUCGCCAUCUGGUGUGUUUACUAUCUGUCUCAGCUGUCUGUCAUUAUCUCUUGAGUGGACAACUGGUCACGAACAUUGCUCUUUACCUUCUUGAGUGUCAUCUUGGAUUUGCGAGUCAUUUAAGCCAGAAGAUGUCCAGCGUCUGUAUUCUUUCAUCUUGCCUGUAAUUUGCUCUAAGCGAAGUACAUUUUUCGCUGGCUUUGGCAGAUUAGGGCUUUCCUAACACUGGUAGGCUGCCUGCAAGUAGUAGUAUCUGCAAUGGAGACAUUAAGCAUAUUUUGUAUCACGUGGAAUGUGCAAACUGGUUGGCCAGAGCAAGGCCUCCACAACCUCCUUGGCAUUCCCAAUGAUCCUGUGAUAAAGAGAACCACGGAUGAUCUUCUGCCAGAUAUAUAUA